GGUGGGCGUGGCCUCUGGCGGAAGUCGCGGGAGGCGGCUCGCUCUGAAGUCGGAACCUAGCUCGGGAUUGACAGACCCGGCUUUGGCUGAGCAGGACCUGUUGCCUACUUUUUCGGUCUGCCCCAGCAAGCUCCGGAUAGGUUUUACAGAUUUACCUUGAGUUGGGGAAAAAAAUCGAAACACUAUUUCAUGACACACGAAAAUUUUGUGAAAUGCACAUUUCAGGGUUGGUAGAUGGAUUUUAUUGGAGCACAGCCGCGUCCCAGUGUCUGUCCAGCCUGAGGUCCCUGCUGCCGGGCCCAGUGUAGGAACAGCUGGUGGAUCCCUGCUUCACGGGUCGACGUGAUAAUGAGAUCCUGGCCAGAGUCACGUGGGUGUGUGUCAAAUAAAUGAACCUUCAACGAAUAACCAAGCAGCAUCUCAUUUUAUGUGAAGAGACAUGGGAAUCCCGAGAGUCAAAUGGAACGGUGCUACACACAGGGAAUAAAACAAUGAAAUCUAACAUGGAGCUUGGCCUUGGAGAAUUCUCAUUCAGCAUAGACAAGAAUUGAAUAAUCAACACACAAAUGUAAAGUUUCAACUGUAGCAAAUACUGCAGUGGCAAGAGACAGUGAUUUUUCCUUUGUAGGUUUUCUUUAUUUUUAAAAUUUACUGGGCUGGGGAUUUAGCUCAGUGGUUUCACUGCCUGCUAUGCAAGCGCAAGGACCCUUGUUUGAUCCCCAGUACCAAAUAAAUAAAUAAAUAAAAUUUAUUGGGACACCUGUGUAAUGC
rnacentral:lncRNA from 1 species